GUACUCCCUUAUUUUAGUAUAGAUCUUUAAGAUGAAAAGUUAAGCAGAUAUAAAUUUUUUUUACAAUUAAAAUAAUUUUUAAAUAAAAAUCGAAAUUUUCUUUCUCAGGACAUGGGCACACAUACUGACUCAACAUCGGAAGACAGUAAUGUCAGUAAUGAUGACCUCUUUUUCCGACACAAAUUGCCAAGGCAUCCUUGUUUUUGUUUUUUUUCUGAACAGAGAAAUCUGGAGAGACCUAAGUAAAAGGCAAAAGCAGUGUCAAUUCACAGAUCUUCAGUGGACAAAUGUCAUUUCAAAAGGCAUACAUUCAGUACACCCCUACUGCAGUAUUGCCUUCAAAAGACACCAUGUGAAGAUCAAGGGAUCUAAACGAAAGGGACCCCUUUUCCACUGCUUGGGGUACUGUACGUUUGCAGACUGCCCUGUCUGUGUUGAAGUCACAAUAACACACGAAAGUACCCUGAAAGCAAUCGUCACAUUUCAGGGUGAUGAAGUGUGCCACAGUCUAGAAGAACUGAGAAGACGACACGUGCGAGCUGACGAAAGGGACAUUUUGGCCAAGCAAUUAGAGUCCACACUCCCAAGGGCCCUAUACUUGCAAAAUCUCGAAAACAUAGAAAGCACAGUGUUCGAGUCAGGAUGUCGGGAUAACGCACCUACACCUGCAGUGCUUAAAAACAUAUCAUGGAACAGCAGGAAAAAAGCUUGCCGUCAUCAUAAUGAAGUACUCAGUCUUCAGAAGAUGGUAGAGGAGAGAACCGAUUCAGAGAAAGUUCUUCAGAAAGUUCUCUUGCAUCCCAGAGGAGUGAUGCUGUGGUCACAAGAUUCCAUCCGUCUGUUCCACCAGCGAUGUAAAACUGAUGUUGUUUACAUCGAUGCCACAGGGAGCAUCAUACAGAAGGGUAAAGGAAGAUCAGCCCCAUUUUAUGUUUAUGAGCUUGUAGUAAGGCAUCCUAAGAAGGGUGCCUCUCCAGUUCCUGUGGCAAUUUAUGUAACUUGUGACCACACAACCUCAACUGUGAUGUACUUUCUACAGUCAUUUCAAACCGAUUAUUAUCGUUUGUUUGGAAAAACAUCACAGGGGAGACCAGUACUCAUUAUGUGUGAUGGGUCCCUUGUUUUACUUCAGGCUGUUGCCUACAUUUUUUGUAGAGUAUCUCUUGGCCAGUUGCUCCAAGUCUAUUAUGAAAUUGUAACUGGGAAGUUGGAGGAUGAGAAAAUUAAGGUUCCAAUUCUUC
ensembl:lncRNA